rnacentral:rRNA from 1 species
UGGGGAAUAUUGGGCAAUGGAGGCAACUCUGACCCAGCAAUGCCGCGUGAGCGAUGAAGGUAGUUUUAUUGUAAAGCUCUUUUCUCAGGAACGAACAAAUGACGGUACCUGAGGAAUAAGCCCCGGCUAACUCCGUGCCAGCAGCCGCGGUAAUACGGAGGGUGCAAGCGUUAUCCGGAUUUAUUGGGUUUAAAGGGUGCGUAGGCUGUAAGUCAAGUCAGCGGUGAAAAGUCGGGGCUAAACCUUGAGGGUGCCGUUGAAACUGAUUUACUAGAAUGUGGAUGAUGCCGGCGGAAUGUGUCAAGUAGCGGUGAAAUGCAUAGAUAUGACACAGAAGGCCGAUUGCGAAGGCAGCUGGCAAAGGCACGAUUGACGCUGAGGCACGAAAGUGCGGGGAUCGAACAGGAUUAGAUACCCUGGUAGU